rnacentral:rRNA from 1 species
GUGGGGAAUAUUGGACAAUGGGGGAAACCCUGAUCCAGCAAUGCCGCGUGGGUGAUGAAGGCCUUCGGGUUGUAAAGCCCUUUUGGCGGGGACGAUGAUGACGGUACCCGCAGAAUAAGCCCCGGCUAACUUCGUGCCAGCAGCCGCGGUAAUACGAAGGGGGCUAGCGUUGUUCGGAAUUACUGGGCGUAAAGGGCGCGCAGGCGGCUUGUCGAGUUGGGCGUGAAAGGCCUGGGCUUAACCUGGGACAUGCGCUCGAUACUGGCAGGCUCGAGUGUGGGAGAGGAUGGUGGAAUUCCCAGUGUAGAGGUGAAAUUCGUAGAUAUUGGGAAGAACACCGGUGGCGAAGGCGGCCAUCUGGACCACAACUGACGCUGAGGCGCGAAAGCGUGGGGAGCAAACAGGAUUAGAAACCCCAGUAGUCC